UCCCGCUUAGCUCAGUGGUAGAGCGUGUCACUAGUAGGUGAUGCUUACGUAAUGACGAGGUGGUCUGUUCAAUCCAGGCAGCGGGAA